rnacentral:tRNA from 4 species
GGGGGUAUAGCUCAACGGUCAGAGCAGGCGGCUCAUAACUGCUUGGUUCACGGUUCGAAUCCGUGUGCCCCCACCA